rnacentral:rRNA from 2 species
GAUUCGUCACACUAUCAUUAACUGAAUCCAUAGGUUAAUGAGGCGAACCGGGGGAACUGAAACAUCUAAGUACCCCGAGGAAAAGAAAUCAACCGAGAUUCCCCCAGUAGCGGCGAGCGAACGGGGAGGAGCCCAGAGCCUGAAUCAGCAUGUGUGUUAGUGGAAGCGUCUGGAAAGGCGCGCGAUACAGGGUGACAGCCCCGUACACAAAAGCGCAUGUGCUGUGAGCUCGAUGAGUAGGGCGGGACACGUGGUAUCCUGUCUGAAUAUGGGGGGACCAUCCUCCAAGGCUAAAUACUCCUGACUGACCGAUAGUGAACCAGUACCGUGAGGGAAAGGCGAAAAGAACCCCGGCGAGGGGAGUGAAAAAGAACCUGAAACCGUGUACGUACAAGCAGUGGGAGCACCCUUCGGGGUGUGACUGCGUACCUUUUGUAUAAUGGGUCAGCGACUUAUAUUCUGUAGCAAGGUUAACCGUAUAGGGGAGCCGGAGGGAAACCGAGUCUUAAUUGGGCGUUAAGUUGCAGGGUAUAGACCCGAAACCCGGUGAUCUAGCCAUGGGCAGGUUGAAGGUUGGGUAACACUAACUGGAGGACCGAACCGACUAAUGUUGAAAAAUUAGCGGAUGACCUGUGGCUGGGGGUGAAAGGCCAAUCAAACCGGGAGAUAGCUGGUUCUCCCCGAAAGCUAUUUAGGUAGCGCCUCGUGAAUUCAUCUCCGGGGGUAGAGCACUGUUUCGGCUAGGGGGCCAUCCCGGCUUACCAACCCGAUGCAAACUGCGAAUACCGGAGAAUGUUAUCACGGGAGACACACGGCGGGUGCUAACGUCCGUCGUGAAGAGGGAAACAACCCAGACCGCCAGCUAAGGUCCCAAAGUCAUGGUUAAGUGGGAAACGAUGUGGGAAGGCCCAGACAGCCAGGAUGUUGGCUUAGAAGCAGCCAUCAUUUAAAGAAAGCGUAAUAGCUCACUGGUCGAGUCGGCCUGCGCGGAAGAUGUAACGGGGCUAAACCAUGCACCGAAGCUGCGGCAGCGAACGUAUCACCCAAGACAACUUUACGGAGUUGACGAUUGACGGAGCGAAGCGACGUCAAAGCGUUCAUUAAAGUCGAGUUGGCUUAGGGAUACGUUCGUUGGGUAGGGGAGCGUUCUGUAAGCCUGUGAAGGUGUGUCGUGAGGCAUGCUGGAGGUAUCAGAAGUGCGAAUGCUGACAUAAGUAACGAUAAAGCGGGUGAAAAGCCCGCUCGCCGGAAGACCAAGGGUUCCUGUCCAACGUUAAUCGGGGCAGGGUGAGUCGACCCCUAAGGCGAGGCCGAAAGGCGUAGUCGAUGGGAAACGGGUUAAUAUUCCCGUACUUGGUGUUACUGCGAAGGGGGGACGGAGAAGGCUAUGUUGGCCGGGCGACGGUUGUCCCGGUUUAAGCGUGUAGGUGUGUGUUCCAGGUAAAUCCGGUUCACUUUAACACUGAGGCGUGACGACGAGGCACUACGGUGCUGAAGCAACAAAUGCCCUGCUUCCAGGAAAAGCCUCUAAGCAUCAGGUAACACGAAAUCGUACCCCAAACCGACACAGGUGGUCAGGUAGAGAAUACCAAGGCGCUUGAGAGAACUCGGGUGAAGGAACUAGGCAAAAUGGUGCCGUAACUUCGGGAGAAGGCACGCUGACACGUAGGUGAAGUGAUUUACUCAUGGAGCUGAAGUCAGUCGAAGAUACCAGCUGGCUGCAACUGUUUAUUAAAAACACAGCACUGUGCAAACACGAAAGUGGACGUAUACGGUGUGACGCCUGCCCGGUGCCGGAAGGUUAAUUGAUGGGGUCAGCGUAAGCGAAGCUCCUGAUCGAAGCCCCGGUAAACGGCGGCCGUAACUAUAACGGUCCUAAGGUAGCGAAAUUCCUUGUCGGGUAAGUUCCGACCUGCACGAAUGGCGUAAUGAUGGCCAGGCUGUCUCCACCCGAGACUCAGUGAAAUUGAACUCGCUGUGAAGAUGCAGUGUACCCGCGGCAAGACGGAAAGACCCCGUGAACCUUUACUAUAGCUUGACACUGAACAUUGAGCCUUGAUGUGUAGGAUAGGUGGGAGGCUUUGAAGUGUGGACGCCAGUCUGCAUGGAGCCGACCUUGAAAUACCACCCUUUAAUGUUUGAUGUUCUAACGUGGACCCGUAAUCCGGGUUGCGGACAGUGUCUGGUGGGUAGUUUGACUGGGGCGGUCUCCUCCUAAAGAGUAACGGAGGAGCACGAAGGUUGGCUAAUCCUGGUCGGACAUCAGGAGGUUAGUGCAAUGGCAUAAGCCAGCUUGACUGCGAGCGUGACGGCGCGAGCAGGUGCGAAAGCAGGUCAUAGUGAUCCGGUGGUUCUGAAUGGAAGGGCCAUCGCUCAACGGAUAAAAGGUACUCCGGGGAUAACAGGCUGAUACCGCCCAAGAGUUCAUAUCGACGGCGGUGUUUGGCACCUCGAUGUCGGCUCAUCACAUCCUGGGGCUGAAGUAGGUCCCAAGGGUAUGGCUGUUCGCCAUUUAAAGUGGUACGCGAGCUGGGUUUAGAACGUCGUGAGACAGUUCGGUCCCUAUCUGCCGUGGGCGCUGGAGAACUGAGGGGGGCUGCUCCUAGUACGAGAGGACCGGAGUGGACGCAUCACUGGUGUUCGGGUUGUCAUGCCAAUGGCACUGCCCGGUAGCUAAAUGCGGAAGAGAUAAGUGCUGAAAGCAUCUAAGCACGAAACUUGCCCCGA